AUGAACCUGGCUUUACUUCUUACUCUGGUUUCAUGCUGUCUGGCUUCUGAAGCCAAGAAGUAUAAUUUUAAGACAAGAAACCAAGGUGAGGACUUUACAUUUGACUGCUGCACCAAUGGGACGUGGACUAAUCUGCGUCUUCGUCAGACCACCAUCUCAAACACAAAUAAAGACAUAGUGAAUGUACAUCAUGGGCGUGAUAACAGGAAAGAGACCAUUGGACACGAGCACCAGGGCCGCCUGAACGUCAGUACGAAGCUGAAAACGACCUCCAUUACAAUCGUCAGUCUGACGGUGGAGGACACGGCGCUCUACUACUGUCACUUCAGUCACGUUGAUGAUCUCGGCAACCUUCAUUUGGAUGAUCGUGAGGUUUAUGCCCUAAUGGUCAAAGGUGAGAUUGUUUUACAACUUUUACCUUUUUUCUUUCUGGAUAAGUAUUUGUGUAAGAAACUUUGGAUCAGUUUCCCGUUUGUGGAUGAAGCCUCGUCCUGCUCUUAUAAUUUAAUUUAAUUCAAUUUUAAAGUGCUUUUCCUCUCUCCCCUCCAAAGCUCCUCCUCCUCUUCCUUCUGUUCCUCCUCCUCCUCCUCCUCCUCCUCCAGACAGCUCCUUUCUGAUUCUGCUCACAAGCGUCAUGGCGUGUGCGCUGAGUAUAGUCGUACUUGUCAUCUACAUUGUGUGUAAGGUAUGUCCAACACAGCCAACCCAUAAUGCACCAUGCAGCCAGAACUGCACACCGUGAGCAGAAGAUCAGGCUGUAAAAUGUCCUCCUUCUCGAUGUCCAGGCGAGACGCGUUCACGAGGGAAGGCUCCCACUGCCGCCCCAGAGCGGCGACACCGUCUACGAAGACAUGAGACGGAGCCUCAGGAGAGGCGGGGACUGACUACGAUGCUGCAGAUCUGCUGCACGGCACGGAACCGUGACAUUUCUGGGACGAUGAAUCAUAUUUCUGCUGUGCUCUUCAUGUAUGCUGUGUGUGAGUGUGACUGCUGGGUUCUGGCAUCCAGAUGAGAAGAAAAUACAUCUAAACAACAGUUGCCAGGGCUUCCACUGUCUGGUCCAUGGACCCUCUUCAUGGACCAAGAUGAGUGUUCUUCUGGGAAAUACAGACUGAAAACAGUGUGAUGGUGCUGGUGACACUGAUGUUUUUAUGAAGUGGAACAAGGUUUCUAUGUAGGCAGUUUUUAACUGGGUUUCUCUCCACUGCCCACCUUCAGAGAGGAACAACAGAUCUUUCUCUGAGUCAAAAUUCUUCUCACAUGUCACCUUUGCAUUUAUGUGUUUCUAUGUGGUUAGGACUUCCUGUUUACCAAAAAAGAAAUCUUGUCUCUGCAGGCCACUUGGAAGAAGACAGUUCUUCAACCACUCAGAGCGUUUCUGAGAAAUGAACCUUGAAAUGUGGUCUAGACAACAGUUGACCCCCUGACAUCAGCCACCUUGAGCAAGAAAGUCACCAAUGCAGGUCAACAUGCAGGAGAUGCUUUAAUGCGGGCACCAGAAUCCAUCCACACUGGCGGAGUCCACAGUGUGGAUUCUAAAGACGGGCUAUUUCAACACAGAGUUCCCUUGUAAUCUCAGCCGGUCCAGCUAUGUAGAAAUCCAUACUUCUCCUGUACAUUUGUACCAUGUAAUCAUAGCAGGCGAGAUGUAAAAAUAGCCAUGUUUUAUAAUACAAGAGAAUAAAGAGUUCUUAUGAUGAAACUGCUGGAUCA
ensembl:lncRNA